AUUGAACGCUGGCGGCAUGCCUUACACAUGCAAGUCGAACGGCAGCACGGAGCUUGCUCUGGUGGCGAGUGGCGAACGGGUGAGUAAUAUAUCGGAACGUACCCUAGAGUGGGGGAUAACGUAGCGAAAGUUACGCUAAUACCGCAUACGAUCUAAGGAUGAAAGUGGGGGAUCGCAAGACCUCAUGCUCGUGGAGCGGCCGAUAUCUGAUUAGCUAGUUGGUAGGGUAAAAGCCUACCAAGGCAUCGAUCAGUAGCUGGUCUGAGAGGACGACCAGCCACACUGGAACUGAGACACGGUCCAGACUCCUACGGGAGGCAGCAGUGGGGAAUUUUGGACAACGGGCGAAAGCCUGAUCCAGCAAUGCCGCGUGAGUGAAGAAGGCCUUCGGGUUGUAAAGCUCUUUUGUCAGGGAAGAAACGGUGGGAGCUAAUAUCUCUUGCUAAUGACGGUACCUGAAGAAUAAGCACCGGCUAACUACGUGCCAGCAGCCGCGGUAAUACGUAGGGUGCAAGCGUUAAUCGGAAUUACUGGGCGUAAAGCGUGCGCAGGCGGUUUUGUAAGUCUGAUGUGAAAUCCCCGGGCUCAACCUGGGAAUUGCAUUGGAGACUGCAAGGCUAGAAUCUGGCAGAGGGGGGUAGAAUUCCACGUGUAGCAGUGAAAUGCGUAGAUAUGUGGAGGAACACCGAUGGCGAAGGCAGCCCCCUGGGUCAAGAUUGACGCUCAUGCACGAAAGCGUGGGGAGCAAACAGGAUUAGAUACCCUGGUAGUCCACGCCCUAAACGAUGUCUACUAGUUGUCGGGUCUUAAUUGACUUGGUAACGCAGCUAACGCGUGAAGUAGACCGCCUGGGGAGUACGGUCGCGAGAUUAAAACUCAAAGGAAUUGACGGGGACCCGCACAAGCGGUGGAUGAUGUGGAUUAAUUCGAUGCAACGCGAAAAACCUUACCUACCCUUGACAUGGCUGGAAUCCUUGAGAGAUCAGGGAGUGCUCGAAAGAGAACCAGUACACAGGUGCUGCAUGGCUGUCGUCAGCUCGUGUCGUGAGAUGUUGGGUUAAGUCCCGCAACGAGCGCAACCCUUGUCAUUAGUUGCUACGAAAGGGCACUCUAAUGAGACUGCCGGUGACAAACCGGAGGAAGGUGGGGAUGACGUCAAGUCCUCAUGGCCCUUAUGGGUAGGGCUUCACACGUCAUACAAUGGUACAUACAGAGCGCCGCCAACCCGCGAGGGGGAGCUAAUCGCAGAAAGUGUAUCGUAGUCCGGAUUGUAGUCUGCAACUCGACUGCAUGAAGUUGGAAUCGCUAGUAAUCGCGGAUCAGCAUGUCGCGGUGAAUACGUUCCCGGGUCU
rnacentral:rRNA from 1 species